CUUGAAGGUGCGUUGCACCAUGUCCUCUGGAAUCUCUUCCAAUGCAUCGCAAACCCACUCUGCUAUCAAUUCUAUGUCAGGCUUCAUCAGAUUUCCAACUUUUGUCAGUCAGGCUUGACCAGAUGACAUCCAUUCAUGCCACAUCUUUCGCACACAGUCUUUGAAAGGUUUAUUUAAACACACAUCUAGGGGCUGCAAUACAGAUGUAAACCCACCUGGAAUAACAGCCAAAGUAACUUGAGAAGAGUUUGCCAAUGUUUUUAUGUCAUAAGAUGUGUGAUCCCAAACUAGCAAUGAUGUUUUUCUUUAAGACUGC